AAAGCCACACAAGAGAGAUGGGUACCAUGAUUCUGAAGGUGUUUUUUUCCCCCCACGAGGCUUAUUCAGUGCACUUUGGAUGUGCUGACCGACCCCUGCAACUUCCCCAAAUUCAGGGAGUCUGGACUGUGAAAUUAGUGGUAGUUGGGGAUUGCAUUUGCAAUCUACCC
rnacentral:snRNA from 1 species